rnacentral:rRNA from 1 species
GAUGAACGCUGGCGGCGUGCCUAAUACAUGCAAGUCGAGCGAACGGACGAGAAGCUUGCUUCUCUGAUGUUAGCGGCGGACGGGUGAGUAACACGUGGAUAACCUACCUAUAAGACUGGGAUAACUUCGGGAAACCGGAGCUAAUACCGGAUAAUAUUUUGAACCGCAUGGUUCAAAAGUGAAAGACGGUCUUGCUGUCACUUAUAGAUGGAUCCGCGCUGCAUUAGCUAGUUGGUAAGGUAACGGCUUACCAAGGCAACGAUGCAUAGCCGACCUGAGAGGGUGAUCGGGCACACUGGAACUGAGACACGGUCCAGACUCCUACGGGAGGCAGCAGUAGGGAAUCUUCCGCAAUGGGCGAAAGCCUGACGGAGCAACGCCGCGUGAGUGAUGAAGGUCUUCGGAUCGUAAAACUCUGUUAUUAGGGAAGAACAUAUGUGUAAGUAACUGUGCACAUCUUGACGGUACCUAAUCAGAAAGCCACGGCUAACUACGUG